rnacentral:rRNA from 5 species
GAUUGACCUCGGAUCAGGUAGGGAUACCCGCUGAACUUAAGCAUAUCAAUAG